rnacentral:rRNA from 1 species
AUUGAACGCUGGCGGCAUGCCCUACACAUGCAAGUCGAACGGCAGCACGGGGCAACCUGGUGGCGAGUGGCGAACGGGUGAGUAAUGCAUCGGAACGUACCUUUCAGUGGGGGAUAACGUAGCGAAAGUUACGCUAAUACCGCAUAUUCUGUGAGCAGGAAAGCAGGGGAUCGCAAGACCUUGCGCUGAUUGAGCGGCCGAUGUCAGAUUAGCUAGUUGGUGAGGUAAAGGCUCACCAAGGCGACGAUCUGUAGCGGGUCUGAGAGGAUGAUCCGCCACACUGGAACUGAGCCACGGUCCAGACUCCUACGGGAGGCAGCAGUGGGGAAUUGUGGACAAUGGGGGCAACCCUGAUCCAGCCGUGCCGCGUGAGUGAAGAAGGCCUUCGGGUUGUAAAGCUCUUUCGGCCGGGAAGAAAUCGCACGGGCUAAUACCCUGUGUGGAUGACGGUACCGGAAUAAGAAGCACCGGCUAACUACGUGCCAGCCGCCGCCGUAACAC